AGUGAACGCUGGCGGCAGGCCUAACACAUGCAAGUCGAACGGCAGCACGGCAGUAGCAAUACUGUGGGUGGCGAGUGGCGGACGGGUGAGGAAUACAUCGGGAUCUACCCUGUUGUGGGGGAUAACGUAGGGAAACUUACGCUAAUACCGCAUAAGAACUGAGGUUGAAAGCGGCGGACCGCAAGGCGUCGCGCGAUUGGAUGAAUCGAUGUCCGAUUAGCUAGUUGGCGGGGUAAAGGCCCACCAAGGCGACGAUCGGUAGCUGGUCUGAGAGGACGACCAGCCACACUGGAACUGAGACACGGUCCAGACUCCUACGGGAGGCAGCAGUGGGGAAUAUUGCACAAUGGGCGAAAGCCUGACGCAGCCACGCCGCGUGAGUGAUGAAGGCCUUCGGGUCGUAAAACUACUGUCGGGAGGGACGAAGGGGCAACCCUGACGGUACCUCGCAAGAAAGCACCGGCUAACUCUGUGCCAGCAGCCGCGGUAAU
rnacentral:rRNA from 1 species